GAUGAACGCUGGCGGCGUGCCUAAUACAUGCAAGUCGAGCGAAUGGAUUAAGAGCUUGCUCUUAUGAAGUUAGCGGCGGACGGGUGAGUAACACGUGGGUAACCUGCCCAUAAGACUGGGAUAACUCCGGGAAACCGGGGCUAAUACCGGAUAACAUUUUGAACCGCAUGGUUCGAGAUUGAAAGGCGGCUUCGGCUGUCACUUAUGGAUGGACCCGCGUCGCAUUAGCUAGGUGGUGAGGUAACGGCUCACCAAGGCAACGGUGCGUAGCCGACCUGAGAGGGUGCUCGGGCACACUGGGACUGAGACACGGCCCAGACUCCUACGGGAGGCAGCAGUAGGGAAUCUUCCGCAAUGGACGAAAGUCUGACGGAGCAACGCCGCGUGAGUGAUGAAGGCUUUCGGGUCGUAAAACUCUGUUGUUAGGGAAGAACAAGUGCUAGUUGAAUAAGCUGGCACCUUGACGGUACCUAACCAGAAAGCCACGGCUAACUACGUGCCAGCCGCCGCGGUAA
rnacentral:rRNA from 1 species